rnacentral:rRNA from 1 species
UACAGAGGCCCCAAGCAUUAUCCGGAAUCACUGGGCGUAAAGGGUGUGCAGGCGGCUUAGUUAGUCUUUUGUGAAAGACCGGGGGCUCAACCCUUGGAGCGCAGGAGAAACGGCUAGGCUUUGAGGACGCGAGAGGUAGAGGGAACUCAUGGUGUAGGGGUGAAAUCCGUUGAUAUCAUGGGGAACACCAAAUGCGAAGGCACUCUACUGGCGCGCUCCUGACGCUCAUACACGAAAGCGUGGGAAUCGAACGGG